CGAGGUUAGUUUCAUUCAAAUCAUGCAAAUUAGAGUCCAAAACAAGAGGGAAAACGUGAGAAAAAGUAGAUACGUUGGAGACGUAUCAAUCCUAUAUCUUUGUCUGAACAUCUCGCUCGCUAGGGUGUUGUGACGAAGGACCUACUAAUGGUGAUCAUGUGCUCGCCCCGUCUCGCUGACGUUAUAGGCCAUGGCGAGCAAGCCUUGCCAGACUCGCUCGGGUGUUGUGAUGUGAGGUCCUACCGACAAACAUAUCAUGUUAGCAAAAUAAUUCAGUGUGUUUUAUUUAUAGUGAGAAUAUAAUUCAUGCACCAACCUUCUCAUAGCUUAUUAGUACAGCUCCACAUGCCAGGCUAAUUACUCGCCAUCAUAAAUAAGUGGAUCUCACCAUUGCACUAUGUCCCACAUCAUGGAUCUUUUUUUAAACACCUUAAUGUACACCUAGCAUCAAUUGGCCC
rnacentral:lncRNA from 1 species